rnacentral:rRNA from 1 species
GAUUGUAACGCGUGGAUAACCUGCCCAUUAGACCGGGAUAACGCCGGGAAACCGGUGCUAAUACCGGAUACGUUCAUCAGAUCGCAUGAUUUGAUGAAGAAAGGAGCAAUCCGCUAAUGGAUGGGUCCGCGUCCCAUUAGCUAAGUUGGUAGGGUAACGGCCAACCAAGGCGACGAUGGGUAGCCGGCCUGAGAGGGCGACCGGCCACACUGGAACUGAGACACGGUCCAGACUCCUACGGGAGGCAGCAGUGGGGAGUCUUCCGCAAUGGGCGCAAGCCUGACGGAGCAACGCCGCGUGAGCGAAGAAGGCCUUCGGGUUGUAAAGCUCUGUCCCGGGGGAAGAACAAAUGACGGUACCCCGGGAGGAAGCCCCGGCUAACUACGUGCCAGCAGCCGCGGUAAAACGUAGGGGGCGAGCGUUGUCCGGAAUUACUGGGCGUAAAGGGCGUGUAGGCGGUUGCGCAAGUCAGUAGUGAAACCCGCCGGCUUAACCGGCGGCUGGCUACUGAAACUGCGCGACUUGAGUGCAGUAGAGGGGAGUGGAAUUCCCAGUGUAGCGGUGAAAUGCGUAGAUAUUGGGAGGAACACCAGUGGCGAAAGCGGCUCCCUGGCCUGUAACUGACGCUGAGGCGCGAAAGCGUGGGUAGCAAACAGGAUUAGAUACCCUGGUAGUCCACGCCGUAAACGAUGGGUGCUAGGUGUUGCGGGUAUCGACCCCCGCAGUGCCGCAGUUAACGCAAUAAGCACCCCGCCUGGGGAGUACGGCCGCAAGGCUGAAACUCAAAGGAAUUGACGGGGGCCCGCACAAGCGGUGGAGCAUGUGGUUUAAUCCGACGCAACGCGAAGAACCUUACCAGGUCUUGACAUCCC